GGGUUAUAGCUCAGCUGGGAGAGCGCCUGCCUUGCACGCAGGAGNNNAAGCAGGGGGUCACUGGUUCGAACCCGGUAUCGCCCACCA
rnacentral:tRNA from 1 species